rnacentral:tRNA from 1 species
GCCUGGGUGGCUCAGUGGGUUAAGCGUCUGACUUCAGCUCAGGUCACGAUCUCGCGGUUUGUGAGUUCGAGCCCCAUGUCAGGCU